UACGUAGGGGGCUAGCGUUGUCCGGAAUCAUUGGGCGUAAAGAGCGUGUAGGCGGCCCGGUAAGUCCGCUGUGAAAGUCGGGGGCUCAACCCUCGGAUGCCGGUGGAUACUGUCGGGCUCGAGUACGGAAGAGGCGAGUGGAAUUCCUGGUGUAGCGGUGAAAUGCGCAGAUAUCAGGAGGAACACCUAUUGCGAAGGCAGCUCGCUGGGACGUUACUGACACUGAGGAGCGAAAGCGUGGGGAGCGAACAGG
rnacentral:rRNA from 1 species